rnacentral:rRNA from 1 species
AACGAACGCUGGCGGCAUGCCUAACACAUGCAAGUCGAACGAGACCUUCGGGUCUAGUGGCGCACGGGUGCGUAACGCGUGGGAACCUGCCCUUAGGUUCGGAAUAACUCCCCGAAAGGGGUGCUAAUACCGGAUAAUGUCUUCGGACCAAAGAUUUAUCGCCUUUGGAUGGGCCCGCGUUGGAUUAGCUAGUUGGUAGGGUAAAAGCCUACCAAGGCGACGAUCCAUAGCUGGUCUGAGAGGAUGAUCAGCCACACUGGGACUGAGACACGGCCCAGACUCCUACGGGAGGCAGCAGUGGGGAAUAUUGGACAAUGGGCGAAAGCAUGAUCCAGCAAUGCCGCGUGAGUGAUGAAGGCCUUAGGGUUGUAAAGCUCUUUUAACCGGGAUGAUAAUGACAGUACCGGGAGAAUAAGCUCCGGCUAACUCCGUG